AGGAAGGAAAAACCAUUCACUAAAUUAAGACUUGGGAACUCUGGAUUUCCCAACUGAUACCAGAAAACCUUCUGUGUGACUCUACAGAUUUCCAGUGUUUGACAACAUAAUCUGUAUCUGUAUACUACUGCUGGGACAUUUCCUGCAAGAGAUCAACAGCUGACCUUUGCAGCAUUCAGAAGUUCCAGGGGUAUCAAUGACAAGUUAACUGGAUGUAAAUCUUUCAAACACUAAGUGGGUUUCAACAGGAAAAAGGGAAAAACAUCUCUUCCUGUCAAAGAAAAGACCCAGUCAGAUUUUUGACUUAGUUGCAACCAUUGCUUUCAGAUAUAUGACCCAUGAGCUAUAAGAAGUCACCUUUCCAA